UCCCAGGUGGCUCAGUGGUAAAGGAUCUGCUUGCAAUGCAGGAGACACCGGUUUGAUCCCUGAUCUGGGAA
rnacentral:tRNA from 1 species